GAUGAAGAACGCAGCGAAAUGCGAUAAGUAAUGUGAAUUGCAGAAUUCAGUGAAUCAUCGAAUCUUUGAACGCACAUUGCGCCCGUCAGUAUUCUGGCGGGCAUGCCUGUUCGAGCGUCAUUACGCCCCUCAAGUCCCCUGUGGACUUGGUGUUGGGGAUCGGCGAGGCUGGUUUUCCAGCACAGCCGUCCCUUAAAUUAAUUGGCGGUCUCGCCGUGGCCCUCCUCUGCGCAGUAGUAAAACACUCGCAACAGGAGCCCGGCGCGGUCCACUGCCGUAAAACCCCCCAACUUUUUAUAGUUGACCUCGAAUCAGGUAGGGCUACCCGCUGAACUUAAGCAUAUCAAUAAGCGGAGGA
rnacentral:misc_RNA from 1 species